UACGUAGGGUGCGAGCGUUAAUCGGAAUUACUGGGCGUAAAGCGUGCGUAGGCGGUUCGCUGUGUCCGAUGUGAAAGCCCCGGGCUUAACCUGGGAAUGGCAUUGGAAACUGGCGGGCUUGAGUACGGCAGAGGGGGGUGGAAUUCCGCGUGUAGCAGUGAAAUGCGUAGAGAUGCGGAGGAACACCGAUGGCGAAGGCAGCCCCCUGGGUCGACACUGACGCUCAGGCACGAAAGCGUGGGGAGCAAACAGG
rnacentral:rRNA from 1 species